CUCUAUAAUAGCAUUAAAUUGGGUUUUACGCUUCAAAACUCUCUCUUUUGCACAUCCAUAGCCACACACAAACAAUAAAACUUCACCAAACAAACCCAAAAUGGUUGAUAUUCAUUUGGGGAAGCCUGCAAAUCUCUCUCUUCUGCUUCUGUUUAUGAGCUUGUUCAUAUUUGUGGUUUGUUUCCCACAUUAUUGCAACGCCUCAAGAGCUUCUUUCUCAAACUUCUCCAAAUACAACAGCCCUCCAACAAUAACAAAACCCCAUUUCCCCAGAAGAUUCAUCCCAAUCCCUUCCUCAACCCCCUCCAGAAAACACAACGAUAUUGGGUUCCAGACCUGACAGUCAAUCUGAGUUUUAGUGUACAGUUUAUAUGUAGAUUUAUUUACAGAGAUAUGAUCAGAGAAGUGACAAGAACGUACUCCAUUGUUCAUCAAGAUACCUGUUUUUGUUCGUAAUAUCAACUUCAACUGAAAACUGUUGCUCCCUAUAGUUGAUCAAACAAGUCGUCGAUUCUCGGGAGGAGGUACUUAUUCCUUUUAUAAGUGCGCUAACUCAACGAAUUCCUCAAACACAAACGAGUGCGUAGAACCUGAAUCAAAUAAUAUUAAAGCCAAAUGACCAAAGACAGGUAGUGUACCUGUAACAACUGCAUCAGGCGCGUUGACUUGCCUGGCUGUGGUUGCAUGGGCUACAGCUCGCCCCUGCUGCUGUUGGGCACCCCAACCCCUUUGAGUCUCUGUUGCAGGUAAUGGUAAGGGAUCCCUAUACGGCUAACAACCACAUUGCAAUAACCCACCUGACGCUUAGCCUAAUAGACUCGGCCCAAAUAUGCACACGCAAUCCAUGAUCAACUUGCACACUUGUAAGCUUACUUGAGACUUGCGUCUCACCCCAACUCGCAAUCUGUACGUGCAUUAGCUCCCCCUUCUACCACAUUUUAUAGUGUGUGGUCGUUGACUCCUUCGGCUCGGCUUGGCUUGGCUUGGUUUUGUGUAACUUCUCAACUUAAAAAUGGCUUAAUCGGCUCGGGUUUGACGUUUAGGACACUGUUCCUUACAUUUUUUACCCUCUUGAUGCUGAAUUCAACCUUAAUUAAGGCAAUUGAGGCCAAUAUAAGGGCCGAUGAUUGUUGGAAUAAUCUCGAAGGACAAACUCAAGUAUUUAAAUUUAGGGAGAACGUCUACUAAGGUAAACCAAGUAAGUGGCUUUACUAUCGGCUCGGUCGGAAGACUUAUCUAUGUAUGACGACACGUGCAAGACACGUGCCAAAUAACAUUGUGUCAUUUAUGCUUUAUGUACUAGUAUAAUAUGAUGUUAGAUUAUGAUGAUGAUGUGAACUAGUAUAAUAUGAUGUUA